UCCGCCCCCGCUCGCUUCUGCCCGCAGCAACCGGUUCCCACGAGCCCUGGGGCGGUUUUGAGACUGGAGGCGGGAGUGGGUUGGACGCGCGUCCCGGCUCCUGAGACCCAGCUGGAGUUUCAGAAUGCUCUCUACCUAGCUGCCUCCUCAACAGUGACAGUCGGGAAAACGUGACCAUCACUGCGUUAGCAGAAAGCCGAGAAACCAUUGGUGAACCGUCCUGACAAACUCCCUGUUAUGGUGGAGCUUACAUUCUGGUGAAAAGGAGUUUCGGCAGGAGCUAACAGGCAAGUAGGAGCAAGUUCCGGAAAGGGCCACACCUGCUAAGAAAAGGAGCAACUCCUUCAUCCGGGAACAAAGCAAGCUUAUCAUAAAAGACAACAUCUGCAAAGCUAGUUGAGAGGAAGAAACAGGUCACCGAUGGACCCUGAGGCUCCUGCCAGCCCUGACAAUCUCCUAUUUCAAGCAGGCAUCGAAUAAAUAUUUGCUGAACAAACAGA